UUGACGGGGCCCGCACAAGCGGUGGAGCAUGUGGUUUAAUUCGAUGCAACGCGAAGAACCUUACCUGGGCUUGACAUCCCGGGAAUCCCCUGGAAACAGGGGAGUGCCCUUCGGGGAACCCGGUGACAGGUGCUGCAUGGUUGUCGUCAGCUCGUGUCGUGAGAUGUUGGGUUAAGUCCCGCAACGAGCGCAACCCUCGCCUCUAGUUGCCAGCAUUCGGUUGGGCACUCUAGAGGGACUGCCGGCGACAAGUCGGAGGAAGGUGGGGAUGACGUCAAAUCAUCAUGCCCCUUAUGACCUGGGCUACACACGUGCUACAAUGGGUGGUACAAGGAGCAGCUAACUCGCGAGAGUAUGCAAAUCUCAAAAAGCCAUCCUCAGUUCGGAUUGGAGUCUGCAACUCGACUCCAUGAAGUUGGAAUCGCUAGUAAUCGCGGAUCAGCAUGCCGCGGUGAAUACGUUCCCGGGCCUU
rnacentral:rRNA from 1 species